CCUUGGCUCAGGAUGAACGCUGGCGGCGUGCUUAACACAUGCAAGUCGAACGAACCUUCGGGUUAGUGGCGGACGGGUGAGUAACGCGUGAGAAUCUGCCCUCAGGAGGGGGACAACAGCUGGAAACGGCUGCUAAUACCCCAUAUGCCGCGAGGUGAAAUGAAUUUCGCCUGAGGAUGAGCUCGCGUCUGAUUAGCUAGUUGGUGUAGGUAAUGGCUCACCAAGGCAUCGAUCAGUAGCUGGUCUGAGAGGAUGAUCAGCCACACUGGGACUGAGACACGGCCCAGACUCCUACGGGAGGCAGCAGUGGGGAAUUUUCCGCAAUGGGCGAAAGCCUGACGGAGCAACGCCGCGUGAGGGAUGAAGGCCUCUGGGCUGUAAACCUCUUUUAUCAAGGAAGAAGAUCUGACGGUACUUGAUGAAUAAGCCACGGCUAAUUCCGUG
rnacentral:rRNA from 1 species